rfam:Gossypium arboreum cultivar AKA8401 contig_45031_1, whole genome shotgun sequence.
UAGUAACAAUUUCAUUCAUUUUUACUGUUAAAAGCUGGUGUUGUUAAAAAAAUAAUCAGAGAAUCAUACGUGGCAUGUCAUGUGCACAUAGUCUGAUGUACAUGAAGCAAUUUUUAAUAGUAAAAGUGGAUAGAAUUUUUAAUA